CCUACGGGAGGCAGCAGUAGAGAAUAUUGCUCAAUGGGGGAAACCCUGAAGCAGCAACGCCGCGUGGAGGAUGAAGGUUUUCGGAUUGUAAACUCCUUUUGUUAGAGAAGAGAAUGACGGUAUCUAACGAAUAAGCACCGGCUAACUCCGUGCCAGCAGCCGCGGUAAUACGGAGGGUGCAAGCGUUACUCGGAAUCACUGGGCGUAAAGGGCGCGUAGGCGGGAUAGCAAGUCAGAUGUGAAAUCCUAUGGCUUAACCAUAGAACUGCAUUUGAAACUGUUAUUCUAGAGUAUGGGAGAGGUAGGUGGAAUUCUUGGUGUAGGGGUGAAAUCCGUAGAGAUCAAGAGGAAUACUCAUUGCGAAGGCGACCUGCUAGAACAUAACUGACGCUGAUGCGCGAAAGCGUGGGGAGCAAACAGGAUUAGAUACCCCUGUAGUC
rnacentral:rRNA from 1 species